rnacentral:lncRNA from 1 species
UCCAAAUAAAACGGUUCUUAAAUAAUUAUCAAACAAGCGAACAACUGUCCCUGGCGCAACUGGUAAAGAACUUAUUGAUUGAUAUCUGAGGUCCCACCACCCCUCCCUCCAAAAGUGUGGGCUUCUAUAGAAAACGGUUCUUAAAUAAUAACUAAACGACUGAUCCUUCUUAGCGCAAGUGAUAAAAAGCUUAGUGAUUGAUAUCUGAACUCCUAAGUUUGAAUUAUAAUUAAUUCAUAUUUUUAACUAAAUUUAUUUCUAAAAUAAAUAAAUAGAACGAUAGCAUGAUAUCUUUUUCUCAAAAAAAAUAUAAUUUACCAAACGCUGACUCUACAAUUAAAAAAAUAUAUAAUUUUAACAGCUGACCUUUCGAUAGUUUUAGAUCUUAUUUAUAUGUAUAAAUAGAUAUUUUUUUAAAAUUUAUUUAAAAGAUUUAUACAUUUUGACCAUGAGAAGUGUAAUCAAAUUUUAGAAUGAAAUAUUAUAUUUGGCAUCAAAUUAUUUGUUCUGAAUAAAAUAAAUUAUCUCAUAAAAACAUGCUAUUCUACCAAAUAAUGAAUAACACACCUUUCAAAAAUAAAAAAAUCAAACUUUCUAUUUGGAAUCAUAUUAAAAA